UACAGAGGGGGCAAGCGUUGUUCGGAAUUACUGGGCGUAAAGGGCUCGUAGGCGGCCAACUAAGUCAGACGUGAAAUCCCCAGGCUCAACCUGGGAACUGCGUCUGAUGCUGGAUGGCUUGAAUUCGGGAGAGGGAUGCAGAAUUCCAGGUGUAGCGGUGAAAUGCGUAGAUAUCUGGAGGAAUACCGGUGGCGAAGGCGGCAUCCUGGACCGACAUUGACGCUGAUGAGCGAAAGCUAGGGGAGCAAACGGG
rnacentral:rRNA from 1 species